CGUUGUAGCACUUGUUGAUACGUUUUAGUUUAGUCUGGACGGGUCGCGUUGAAAAAUGUGAUUGUUUUUGUUGCUUCAAUCUUAUUAAGUUGUUUAAAAGUGUUACAAGAAAAAAAAGAAACCAUGAGGGUCAAACGGAAAUUCGGCAGCAAGAUGUAUGAAAGCUCUUGCUCAUAUCAAACGGCCCUGGACCUGAAACGAGCCGCGUCUCCGCUGAUCACCCACCAGGUUAAAUCGGAGGACUGUCUCGGGUUGACCCAGUGCACCACGGAUUGGGGCUCGUAUCGAUUUCAUCAGUCCACCUUCGAACAGUUGAAGCAAAGUGUCGAAAAGGCCAAAGCUGCCCUGCAGGAUCGAACCGCGUUCCUUGGCAGCUCCAGUGCUUUCAGUGACAUUUACUCCUCCCCGCGACUAACGGAAUCGCUGGAAAAUGUGAUAACGCACAGUAGUACUAACAACAACAAUAACAACACCGAUAGCGGCAACAGUAACAAUAACAACAGUGGUACAACAAGUAACAGUAUUAACAACUCAAAUAGCACCGGAAACGGAAGUAGUGGUAGUGGUGGUGGUGGAGGAAAUGGCUCUGGCGGUAGUGGGAUCAGUGUGAUUAAUGCGACUUCCCUCGUUUCGCCAAACAAUUUGCUAGUUGGGAACGGUCUCACGUCGCAAAGACAUCGCAGUAAUUUAUUAGGGACAGGUAACCUGAGUCUUGUUUCGUCAACACAAUCACCGACCACCACCUCGACACCGUCGUCGAUCCUGUCCCAGAACCUGGAAUCGCCUUCGCUGGACGUCAAGUCACGACAAGAUACAUCAUACAAAUCAUCAUGGGGCUCUCACAGUUCAUCACAAAGUCAAGGCUACAGUUCAAAUGCACUGAGCAGUGUUAGCGUCGGGAAAACUUCAUUAGAUGCACAUUCACACUUUAGACAGCCAGAUCCAUAUCAGAUGUUUGGUCCCACCAGUAGUCGAUUAGCUAGUUCAGGUUCCGGUCAAAUUCAGCUGUGGCAGUUUCUGCUCGAGCUGCUGAGCGACUCGACGAACGCGGCCUGCAUCACGUGGGAGGGCACCAACGGUGAGUUCAAGCUGACCGACCCGGACGAGGUGGCGCGGCGCUGGGGCGAGCGGAAGUCCAAGCCGAACAUGAACUACGACAAGCUGAGCCGGGCGUUGAGAUAUUACUACGAUAAGAAUAUCAUGACCAAGGUGCACGGCAAGCGUUACGCAUACAAAUUCGACUUCCAGGGACUGGCCGCGGCAACGCAACCGCAGACGGAUCCCACGUACAAGUAUCAGAGCGAUCUGUUUAUGUCGCCGUACCACCACGGGGCAAAGCUGAGCUCGUUUAUGAGCCCCCACCACAGCAUGACGUCAUCUUCCGCCUCCAUCUUCCCGUCGGCCGCCUCCUGGGGCAACUGGGGCAGCCCGGCCACGAACCUCUACCCGUCGCACUCGAUGUCGCACGUGACGCCGUCGCACGUCGCGCCGCACCUCGGCUCGUACCCGCACUACGCAUGACCAUCACCGACGACGUCCUCGACUGCGGUGGCAGCGGCCGCGGCAGCCGCUUCCGUCACCUCGGGCUCGCACCACCACCACCAUCAUCACCACUCGCAGCAGCAGCAUCAGCAGGAAUUUCAGCUGGUCCAGCAGUCGGUUCUGCAGCCAAUCGAACCACCCCCACAACCACCACCAAUUCUUGAAUGCAACAGCAGCAGCGAACAGCAACAGUUCUACCGACGCAACCUAGAUAAAUGUAUUUUAGAUCAUCUAAGCAAAUGUCUCAACUUUUAAAAUUUUCAUCCCAUAAAGGAAGAAGAAGUAAAGAGGAGAAAUGAUACAUAUUUUAAAUAGUAAGAUUAUACAACAAAACAAACCCAGCUGAACAGAACAAGCGAGAUAUUCCAAGUCAGUGUAUACUAGCAAUAUUUUUGAUGUAAAGAGCAGCAAACCAAACUCUUAACACACACAUUUCACUACUAGGAAAUGGUUAAAGAGGUAAUAGUCUUCUGAAAUAGGCCGAGUCAUCGUAGUUAUUCAAUUAUUGUGUAAGUGAGUACUUUAUUGUCUGUACAUAGAACGAAAACCAACAAGAAAAUCUUUUUAAUUGUGAAUCUCUUUUGUUUAAUGAUUUGUGAUAUGAACAAACAAAUUGGCAAGUAUUAACAAACCAAAAAAGAAAACUAGUCAUUGAUUAUCAUUGUAAAAAAAAAAACAGUGCAAAACAACCAAAGUAUGAAACUUUGAAACUACUCUCCUCUAAGUCAUUAUUUAUUUUAUUUAUCUAAGUAUUACUAUUGUUUAUCUAUAUUUUAACUAAUUUAAACUAAACAAAAAAGCAAAUAUUCGUACAUACAAAGACUGUGAUAGUUAACGACACUUGUUAAAAUUUCGUUCUCGCAACAGUUUUUACUCGAAUUGUCUACAACUAUUGAGCAAAAACUAUGUUUUACAAACAAAAAUUACAACAACAAAAUCAACAUUACCCACUUCUUUGCGAGCAAAAAGAAAUGGACUCUACUCUUAUUUGUACAUAGUUAUUUACAAAAAUUUGCAAAUACUCAAAAACUCUAGGUGUAGUAAACUUUAAACCACAGAAAAAAAAAUAAACAAAUAAGUAAACCGCGCAAAAAGUCAGAGCAAUCACUGUAUGGAUGUGUUUUCGAUAUCAAAGAAACAAAAAAAGAUAAACAAAUAAAAAUCUAAACGUCAGCGUUUCACACCGGUUGUCGAAAAAAUGCAAACUAUUUGUAAAUAUAACGUCUAACGAGGUUCAGUUUUAUCGUGCAACCGAAAUAUCAAGUGUAUCGAGUGAAAAGCAAGCAGCAAAUUUAUUCUACUGAUAACACACAUAACUCUUCAGUGGCUGGUAUUUAAGUAAAAACAAAACCAAACCAAACAAAAACAGUUGAAACGUGUAACUGAAUGUCUAUUUUUCAAUCCCACUGAAUGGUCUCGCGCGACUGGUUUGAGUCUCGUGAGCUCAAACGGGGCUAACAAGCGCAGUAAACAUCAGAGUAAAACAAAUGUUAAAUUAAAACAAAACAAAAAAACGGAAUCUUAUAUUGAAUUAUAAAUGUGUAAAUGGUGUGACAAGAAAAAAGUAACCGAAAAAAAACAAAACAAAUAAAAAAACAAGUCUUCACUGUACAUGGAAAUGAACAUGAUAAUUCCAAGGAAAACUGCAAAUAAAAUUCGUAUAAAUGUUUGAAAAAUA
rnacentral:misc_RNA from 1 species